ACAAACUUGGUCAUUUAGAGGAAGUAAAAGUCGUAACAAGGUCUCCGUUGGUGAACCAGCGGAGGGAUCAUUAUAGAGUCUCAGCACUCCCAAACCUUUGUGAAUAUACCCGUUGCUUCGGCGGGCGUACCGGGUGUCGUCUUGGCAUCCGGGUCAGCCUGCGGCCGCCGAGGAUCCAAACUUCUAUCUUUUUUUUUGUUUCUUCUUCUGAGUAUAGACAAAAAUGAAUUAAAACUUUCAGCAACGGAUCUCUUGGCUCUGGCAUCGAUGAAGAACGCAGC
rnacentral:misc_RNA from 1 species